rnacentral:lncRNA from 1 species
UUUAGGGGGUUAGGUUAGGGGAAAAUAAUUAUAAAGUCAGCCACAAUUGUGGUUUAAGUGCACUGGCAUGCAGGGGUCCAUGUCAGCUUAUCAAACAAGUACACAUCAGUCUGUUUAUUUUUAUUUUAUUUGUUGGUUUUACCUUUGUUUGUUUUCCUUUUGUAUACACGUGUUUACUUUCUUCUCCCCUGCUCUGCUUCUGUUUCUUCCCCAGAAAGGUAGAGAUUACCGGGUCCCUUGCUGAUGCUGCCAGGAGGAAGAGGAGGAGGAGGAGGAGAAGAAGAAGAAGAAAGGAGGAGGAGGAGGAGGAAGAGGAGAGGAUCCCAGGGUGGCGUCCCUGCACCCGAGCCGAGCAACAAGGUCAUGGAACCUGGAGUAAGAAGGGAGGAAACAUUCUCCCAAGGGGGACGAGGGGAGCAGCCAGGGGACGUGGAGACCCACCAAACCCACCUGCAGGCACUGGCUGGGUUAGAAAAUAAAAGAUUGGAUCCCACCAUCCACAAAAGAUGGAGGGAUCAGAUGCACGCUCCAUCCAGGCGGGCAACGGGAGGCCCACAUCCACCGGCCGCAUCCCCAGCAUCCCACACAGUAUCAUUCAUGGACCUCAUGACUACAAAAGCAUGAUUGAAAAUGACCUUCAUUAUGGUAAUUUAAAUGAGCCUAUGCAACUAUAUUCACACAUAUCUCAAACAGAAACAUAAACCCAUCUGUGUUCUCUUUCUUAUUAAUUUGUAAACAUUUUAUACACAUAUUUUGUAUAAGUAUCUUGGUUUUAUGUUGACAGAUGAGUUUGAAGGUGAUUGAAAUAAGACAUGGGGUCAUCGGGUGGUUAUCAUAGGCAUGAUUCUGAGGUCUGGGUCCAGAAACAAAAAAGGCUAAUAACCAAGAAUUGGUUAGGGUUAGGCAAAAGCCUGUGACUGGUUGUGAUUAGGCGUAGGUCCGAGGAUGGUUAGGGUUAGGAAAAAUGGGUCUGGGGGAGGUUAGGAUGAAAAAGGAAUUAAAUCAUGACCUUUACAGUACCCAUUAUGACUGUUGUUAUUGUUAUUGUUCCAAAACAAUGUUUUUAUCAAUAGUAAUUACUUAAUAGCAUUUGUAAAUUUAAUUAGUUUUCAAAUUGAAUUAAAUUUGUUUAAAAUAAUUAUAUUUUGGGGCCGAAUCAGGUCUAGAUGUUAUACCUGGGCUCUGAGCAGGUCGCUUAUAAUAAAUAAUUUUCAAAAGGAAUCUAAGGAGGCCCA